UGGUCUAUUCAGGGAUUCAACUUCUUCCAGGUUUAGUCUUGGGAGGGUGUAUAUGUCCAGGAAUUUAUCCAUUUCUUCUAGAUUUUCUAGUUUAUUUGUGUAGGGUGUUUAUAGUGUUCUCUGAUGGUAGUUUGUAUUUCUGUGGGAUAAUUUCUGUUCUUUUACAUUUGAUGAGGAGUGCUUUACUUCCAACUAUAUGGUCAACUUUGGAAUAAGUGCGAUGAGGUGCUGAGAAGAAUGUAUAUUCUGUUGGUUUGGGAUGGAGAGUUCUAUAGAUGUCUAUUAGGUCUGCUUGGUGCAGAGCUGAGUUCAAUUCCUGGAUAUCCUUGUUAACUUUCUGUCUCGUGAUCUGUCUAAUGUUGACAGUGGAAUGUUAAAGUCUCCCAUUAUUAUUGUGUGGGAGUCUAAGUCUCUUUGUAGGUCUCUAAGGACUUGCUUUAUGAAUCUGUGUGCUCCUGUAUUGGGUGCGUAUGUAUUUAGGAUAGUUAUCUCUUCUUGUUGAAUUGAUCCCUUUACCAUUAUGUAAUGGCCUUCUUUGUCUCUUCUGAUCUUUGUUGGUUUAAAGUCUGUUUUAUCAGAGACUAGGAUUGCAGCCCCUGCUUUUUUUUGUUUUCCAUUUGCUUGGUAGAUCUUCCUCCAUCCCUUUAUUUUGAGCCUAUGUGUGUCUCUGCACAUGAGAUGGGUUUGUUCACAUUUUCUAUUUUUUCUUGAUUCAGUCUUGGUAGGUUGUAUUUGUCUAGGAAUUUGUUCAUUUCUUCUGGAUUAUCCCAUUUGUUGGCAUAUGUUUGUUCAUAGCAGUUUCUUUUGAUUCUUAGUACUUCUGUAGCAUCGGUUACAGUGUCUCUUUCAUUUCUUAUUUAUUUGAAUUUUUCUUUUUUUCCUGGUUAGUCUAGUGAUUUUCUUAAUCUGCUGAAAUUAUGUAUCUUUUUAUAUAACAAUUUCUUAGGCCAGGCACAGUGGCUCACGCCUGUAAUCCCAGCACUUUGGGAGGCCAAGGCAGGCAGAUCACGAGGUCAGGAGAUCAAGACCAUCCUGGCUAACACGGUGAAACCCCGUCUCUACUAAAAAGACAAAAAAUUAGCCAGGAGUGGUGGCACAUUCCUGUAGUCCCAGCUACUCGAGAGGCUGAGGCAGGAGAAUCGCUUGAACCCUGGAGGUGGAGUUUGCAGUGAGCAGAGAUGGCACCACUGCACUCCAGCCUGGGCAACAGAGCGAGACUCCAUCUCAAAAAACAAAAACCAAAAAACCAUCUCUUAGUCUUGCCUGUUUUUUUCUAUUGUUUUUGUAGUCUCUACUUCAUUUAUUUCUGCUUUGAUCUUUGUUAAAUACUUGCACUACCUUUGGGCUUACUUCUUCUUUCUCUACUUCCUUGGGGUGUAACAUUUGAUUGUUUAUCUGGAUUAUUCUUAAAUGCAAGCAUUUACCAUUAUAUAUCUUUUUCUUAAGACUGUUUCUGCUGAAUCCCAUAAGUUUUGAUACAUUGUGUUUCCAUUUUUGUGUUGAGGUAUUUUUUUUAAUUUUUUUAAAUUUCUUUUGAGAUCCUUUGGUUGUUCAGGAGCAUGUUGUUUAAUAUCCACAUAGUUGUGUUUCAAUAUUUCUUCCGUGAUUGAUUUCUAUUUUAUUGUUGUUGUGGUCUGAAAAGAUGCUUGGUAUGGUUUCAAUUUUCUUAAAUUUGGUAAAGUUUGUUUUGUGGACUAGCAUAUUUUCACUGAAGAAUUUUCUAUGUGUGCUUGAGAAGAAUGUGUAUUCUGCUGCUAUUAGGUGGAAUGUUCUGUAUGUCUGUUAGGCCCAUUUAGUGUAAAGUGUAAUUCAAGUCAGUUGUUUCAUUAUUGAUUUUCUGUCUAAAUGAUCUGUUCAUUGUUGAAAAUGCAAUACUAGUAUAGUAUUGCCGUUGAUCUCUCCCUUCAGAUCAUUUAAUAAUUGCUUUAUGUAUUUAGGUGCUCAGAUGUCAGGUUUGUAUGUAUUUACAACUUAUAUAUCCUCUUGGUGAAUGAAUUCAUUUAUCAUUAUGUAAUGACCUCUGUCUUUUUAACUAAUUAAUUAAUUAUUAUUACCAGAUAAGGAGAGUGUCUUUUUUAAAAACUAGUUUUUGACUUAAUGUUUAUUCUGUCUACAUAUAGCUAUCCUUACUCUCUUUCAUUUCCAUUUUGUGUGGAAUACCUUUUUCCAUUCAUUCUCUCUCAAUCUAUGUACGUCCAUACUAGCACUGUGAAUCUCUUACAUGCAUAUAGUUGAAUCUUGUUUUUUCAAUCCAUUCAGCCACUGUAUGCCUUUUUAUUGGAUAAUUUA
rnacentral:lncRNA from 10 species